AUUGAGAAGCUAUACAGCGUCAGCCUUUUAAGUUGAAGACUGAGAGUCCAAAUCUCUCCUUAAUG
rnacentral:tRNA from 1 species